AAUGAAAAACAAAACAAAAAAAAAAAAAUCACUCCACACCCAACUCCUCUGUCUCUGUCUCCCUCUUUGUCUUCUUCUUGUUCAUUU
rnacentral:ribozyme from 14 species